AAAAUGUAAAGUAAAGAGACACUAGAGUUAGUGUAAUGCAAAGAACCAGAGUGAUGAAAAGAAUGAUGAAAAUGACAAUGUGUAGAGUAAAGUAAAGUGGGGCAAUAAGAACAAGUAUUGUAACGAACAAGAAUGCUAGAGUUAGCAAGAGUAAAGAAAUGUAAAGAAUGUAAUUGCAUGAGUUUGCAACAUAAAGUGAUGUAAAGAACACUAGAGCUAGUGUAAAGUCAAGAUUGAA
rnacentral:lncRNA from 1 species